AGAGUUUGAUUCUGGCUCAGGAUGAACGCUAGCUACAGGCUUAACACAUGCAAGUCGAGGGGCAGCAUGGUCUUAGCUUGCUAAGGCCGAUGGCGACCGGCGCACGGGUGAGUAACGCGUAUCCAACCUGCCUUACACUCUUGGACAGCCUUCUGAAAGGGAGAUUAAUACAAGAUGUUAUCAUGAGUAAGCAUUUUCACAUGAUUAAAGGUUUACCGGUGUAAGAUGGGGAUGCGUUCCAUUAGAUAGUAGGCGGGGUAACGGCCCACCUAGUCUUCGAUGGAUAGGGGUUCUGAGAGGAAGGUCCCCCACAUUGGAACUGAGACACGGUCCAAACUCCUACGGGAGGCAGCAGUGAGGAAUAUUGGUCAAUGGACGAGAGUCUGAACCAGCCAAGUAGCGUGAAGGAUGAAGGUUCUAUGGAUUGUAAACUUCUUUUAUACGGGAAUAAACGAAUCCACGUGUGGAUUUUUGCAUGUACCGUAUGAAUAAGGAUCGGCUAACUCCGUGCCAGCAGCCGCGGUAAUACGGAGGAUCCGAGCGUUAUCCGGAUUUAUUGGGUUUAAAGGGAGCGUAGAUGGGUUGUUAAGUCAGUUGUGAAAGUUUGCGGCUCAACCGUAAAAUUGCAAUUGAUACUGGCAGUCUUGAAUACA
rnacentral:rRNA from 1 species